AAGAGCACCGCAUUGCGUCCUUCCUCCGUGCAGGGUUCCCUUUUUAGUUCGUGCGAGUCGCUGAUUAUUUUUUUUAAUGAAUGACGGUAGUGAACAUUUUACCGCUUUGAUAAAUGUACAGUCUGGUGAACUAGUAAAUAUCCUACAUUAUUCAAG